rnacentral:rRNA from 1 species
AUUGAACGCUGGCGGAAUGCUUUACACAUGCAAGUCGAGCGGCAGCGCGGGGGCAACCCUGGCGGCGAGCGGCGAACGGGUGAGUAACACAUCGGAACGUACCCUGUCGUGGGGGAUAACGAAUCGAAAGAUUCGCUAAUACCGCAUACGACCCGAGGGUGAAAGCGGGGGAUCGCAAGACCUCGCGCGAUAGGAGCGGCCGAUGUCGGAUUAGCUAGUUGGGGAGGUAAAGGCUCACCAAGGCGACGAUCCGUAGCUGGUCUGAGAGGACGACCAGCCACACUGGGACUGAGACACGGCCCAGACUCCUACGGGAGGCAGCAGUGGGGAAUUUUGGACAAUGGGGGCAACCCUGAUCCAGCCAUUCCGCGUGAGUGAAGAAGGCCUUCGGGUUGUAAAGCUCUUUCGGCAGGAACGAAACGGUGGAGGCUAAUACCUUUCAUCAAUGACGGUACCUGAAGAAGAAGCACCGGCUAACUACGUGCCAGCCGCCGCGGUAAGAC